rnacentral:lncRNA from 10 species
CAACGGCUCAUUUUCCCUUCCUCUCAGCCUCAACAACAACCAUUCUAUUCUCUGUUUCUGUGCUUCAUAUGUGUUUAAAUGCUUCAUAUAACUGAAAUCAUAGAGUAUUUACCUUCUGUGACUGGCUUACAUCAUUUAACAUAAUGUGGUUCAGGUACAUCCAUGACGUUACAUAUGGUAGUUUUGUUUCACUCUAAUGCUUCCCUUAACGUGCUUAGCCAGAGUACUUUGGUUAUAAACCGGAGUACUUUGUCUUCAACAAGAAGGGACUGUCUCAGAGACCCAGGAAAAGGUCUAUGCCAGGCAGUAUGGGGCACAGACUUCUGAGGAAUUGUUAAGAUAAUAUUGACAACAUACCAUGGACUGAGUCAAGCUAUCCAGUAAUCUAGUGAAGAAGCUGAUGAGUUCAUGAGACUGCCGGUUCAAACUCAGCAUGAUUUUAUCGUCUUUCAAGAAGGAGAGAAUGUAAAUAAAUUAGCUAACUUUGGAAUCUUGCAUUCUCAUUUGUUUAGUAGUUAUUUAAAUUCAUUAAAUUGCUUCAUAUAAGUAACCAUUAUUCUUGACGGUAAAAUUAAGUUUUUCUGUGCCUGGCUUAUUUCACUUAGCAUAAUGUCUUCCUUGGUCAUCCAUGUUAUUACAAAUGGUAAGAUGUUUUUCUUUUGCGAGACUGAUCUUAUUUUCUCAAGAUGACUGACUGGAAACAUCAGAUGCCAGUUCUCAGAAAGAUCAAAGUUACAACUGAAUGGUCAUGAUGUGAACAGAAAGCUAAAGGAAGAGAGCCGGGACUGUUGCAGAGCCCACAGGAAAAAGCUGGGACACAGAAAAGGAAGGUAGCAAGAGUCUGGCAGAGAUUGACCUCCGAGGAAUUUGAAGUCCCACAGAGGGAGUAAGUGUGCUGUUUCUUUGCUCCACUCAUUCCUGUGACAAACUGCUGACUGACAAAUUAUUGGGGAGCACCUCUGCCCUCAUUAACCCCUGCAAUGCUGUCAGUGGCAAUUUGGGAACUUCCUGGGAAUAGAGCCCCAGGUGGCCUUCUUAUACAGAUGUGCUUGCAUUCCUCUCAGGUCCAAACUGAGAUGGCAGAAACCAUACUGGUUGUGCCCCUAUUGUGGGCCACUGUCCUGCUCAGGGAACCUCAUCCUUUGUGUCACUGCAUCGCCAGAUUCCCUGCAAAUGUACCCAAGAACCUGCUCUGACUUGGCAACCACGGGGACUGGUGGAACCAUGAGGAAUUGCAGAAUCCCUGGAGAUGUAACCUUCCACACAGGCCACCCUUAAGGGAGUGGGGAGCAUAGCCCACAAAAGCACCCCUUGUGACAAAGGAAACAUGGGUCCAGUGCGGAUCUCUGAAGGAGGCAGCACCAAUGACCAGGAAUAGAUGUGUGUGUGUGGAGGGGGGUGGGUGGGGGGGUGUCAUCUCCCAUUCCCCUUGUCCACUGUUCCAGAUGCAGCAGAGGCUUUCUCCACUGCAGACUGUCACGAAUGCACUUGAAGACAGCCUUUCCAGUGCUAUUCACAGAAACUGCACCCCCGUUGAAAGUGAGCUUGUACCCCACUGGCAUGCAUGAUGGGCAGGGCCCAAUCUCCCCCUCCGUACAUAGAGGAGCAGCAUCGCAGCAACAGAAGGCAGUCAAGCCAUGAAGCCUGGUCUGGACUGGAAGAAGAAGCAUUGUCCUGGGGUCAUUUCAGUCCUGGGGUCAUUUCAAAAUAUUCUUCUGCCAGAAUAUUUUCUCUGACCUCAGUAACACUGUGGCCAGAGUCAAAGGACACUGUCUAUAUGAACUGAAGGUCAUGAGCUCUGUGACAGGGGCACAACAGGGAAGCAAAUCACAUUCCUCCCUGCCCAGGACUAGAGACAGAUGUAACCCCCCAACUUCUUCCCCCAAGACCUCAGUACAUCCCAACACAACUCUCCCUGCCUGCCCCCAUCAGGAUGGGUUGCCUCCACUUAUCAAAGGGCUACCAAAUGUUACUCUUAAGCGCCACCUACUGGAAUGGAGACUGCUGCAUCACUGAAUAAAAAUCCCUGCUGUCCGAAGAGCACAGGGUUAGUGCAUGAGAUAAGCUUCCUGAGACCGCUGCAUUCCCAGUCACGCAGGGCAUAGUGUAUUGGCUCAUAUGCCCAACACAUUGCUAAGGCAAGCAGCAUUUGAGAAAACCACCACACAUGAUUCCAUAUCUUUGUUACUGUGAAUGUGCUGCAAUGAACAUGGGAAUGCAGAUAACGCAUCAAAACACUGGUUUCACUUCUUUUGGAUAUAUACCCAGCAAUGAGGUUGCUGGAUCAUAUUUUUAAUUUUCUGGGGAACCUCCAUGCUGUUUUUUUAUAACGACUUUACCCAUUUACAUUCCCACCAAUAGUGAACAAGUGUUUUCUUUUCUCCACGUCUCCACCAACACUUAUUAUCUUUUGCUUUUUUGAUAAAAUACACUCUAAUACGUAUGAGGUGAUAUCUCAUUGCGGUUUUAAUUUACAUUUCCCUGAUGGUUAGUGAUGUUGAGAAUUUUUUCAUAUCUGCAUUGGCCAUUUGUAUGUCUUCUUUUAAGAAAUAUCUAAGUCUUUUGUCCAUUUUUAAUUCUGUUAUUUAUUUUCUUGCUAUUGAUUUGUUUAAGUUCCUUAUAGAUUUUGGAUAUUAACCCCUACCAGAUGUAGCAAACUGAAUUCAAUGGCACAUUAAAAGGAUGGUUCACUAUGAUCAGGUGGGAUUCAAGAAUGGAUCACCAUAUGCAAAUCAAUAAAUGUGAUACACCCCAUUAACAGAAUGAAGAACAAAAACCAUAUGAUCAUCUCAAUAGAUGUAGAAAUGCAUUUGACAAAAUUCAACAUUUUUUAUGAUAAAAACUCUCAACAAAUUAGUUAUAGAAGCAAUGUACCUCAACACCAUAAAGGUCGUGUAUCACAAGCCCACAUAACAUAAUAUGCAAUGGUGAAAAGUUAAAGCUUUUCCUCUAAGAUCAGGCACAGUAUAAGCAUGCCCAAUCUUGCCGUUUCUAUUCAACAUAAUAAUGGAAAUCCUAGCCAAAGUGAUUAGGAAAGAGAAACAAUAAAAAACAUCCAACUCAUAGAUAAGGGAGUUAAAUUGUUUCUGUUUACAGA